rnacentral:misc_RNA from 1 species
GAUGAAGAACGUAGCGAAAUGCGAUACGUAAUGUGAAUUGCAGAAUUCAGUGAAUCAUCGAAUCUUUGAACGCAUAUUGCGCUCUCUGGUAUUCCGGAGAGCAUGCUUGUUUGAGUAUCAGUAAACACCUCAACUCCCUUUUCUUUUUUGAAAUUGGAGCUGUACUUGAGUGAUCCCAACGCUUUCUUCCAAGAAAGUGGCGGGUUGCUUGAAAUGCAGGUGCAGCUGAACUUUUCUCUGAGCUAUAAGCAUAUCUAUUUAGUCUGCCUAAAAAACAGAUUAUUACCUUUGCUGCAGCUAACAUAAAGGAGACUAGUUCUUGUGCUGACUGAUGCAGGAUUCACAGAGACAGCUUCGGCUGACUUUGUAAACUCGAUCUCAAAUCAAGUAAGACUACCCGCUGAACUUAAGCAUAUCAAUAAGCGGAGGA